rnacentral:rRNA from 1 species
GACCUCGGAUCAGGUAGGGAUACCCGCUGAACUUAAGCAUAUCAAUAAGCGGAGGAAAAGAAACCAACAGGGAUUGCCUUAGUAACGGCGAGUGAAGCGGCAACAGCUCAAAUUUGAAAUCUGGCCUCAUGGUCCGAAUUGUAAUUUGUAGAGGAUGCUUCGAGCAUGGUCUGGUCUAAGUUCCUUGGAACAGGACGUCAUAGAGGGUGAGAAUCCCGUACGCGACUAGGUGCCUAAGCUCAUGUGAAGCUCCUUCGACGAGUCGAGUUGUUUGGGAAUGCAGCUCAAAAUGGGUGGUAAAUUUCAUCUAAAGCUAAAUACUGGCCAGAGACCGAUAGCGCACAAGUAGAGUGAUCGAAAGAUGAAAAGCACUUUGGAAAGAGAGUUAAACAGUACGUGAAAUUGUUGAAAGGGAAGCGC